UACGUAGGGUGCAAGCGUUAUCCGGAAUGAUUGGGCGUAAAGCGUCCGCAGGUGGCUAUGUAAGUCUGCUGUUAAAGAGUGAGGCUCAACCUCAUAAAAGCAGUGGAAACUACACAGCUAGAGUGCGGUAGGGGCAGAGGGAAUUCCUGGUGUAGCGGUGAAAUGCGUAGAGAUCAGGAAGAACACCGGUGGCGAAAGCGCUCUGCUAGGCCGCAACUGACACUGAGGGACGAAAGCUAGGGGAGCGAAUGGG
rnacentral:rRNA from 1 species